GCCCCCGUAGCUCAGGGGAUAGAGCAACGGCCUCCGGAGCCGUGUGCGCAGGUUCGAAUCCUGCCGGGGGCACCU
rnacentral:tRNA from 99 species